rnacentral:rRNA from 1 species
UACGUAGGGGGCGAGCGUUGUCCGGAAUUACUGGGCGUAAAGGGUUCGCAGGCGGCAUGGCAAGUCCGAUGUAAAAGGCGAAAGCUCAACUUUCGUAAGCAUCGGAAACUGUCAAGCUUGAGUGAAGGAGAGGCAAGUGGAAUUCCUAGUGUAGCGGUGGAAUGCGUAGAUAUUAGGAGGAAUACCGGUGGCGAAGGCGACUUGCUGGACUUCAACUGACGCUGAGGAACGAAAGCGUGGGUAGCAAACAGG